rnacentral:rRNA from 1 species
CCUACGGGAGAAAGUGGGGGAUCUUCGGACCUCACGCUAUUAGAUGAGCCUAGGUCGGAUUAGCUAGUUGGUGAGGUAAUGGCUCACCAAGGCGACGAUGUAACUGGUCUGAGAGGAUGCAUCACACUGGAACUGAGACACGGUCCAGACUCCUACGGGAGGCAGCAGUGGGGAAUAUUGGACAAUGGGCGAAAGCCUGAUCCAGCCAUGCCGCGUGUGUGAAGAAGGUCUUCGGAUUGUAAAGCACUUUAAGGGAGGAAGGGCAGUUACCUAAUACGUGAUUGUUUUGACGUUACCGACAGAAUAAGCCGGCUAACUCUGUGCCAGCAGCCGCGGUACAGAGGGUGCAAGCGUUAAUCGGAAUUACUGGGCGUAAAGCGCGCGUAGGUGGUUUGUUAAGUUGGAUGUGAAAGCCCCGGGCUCAACCUGGGAACUGCAUCCAAAACUGGCAAGCUAGAGUAUGGUAGAGGGUGGUGGAAUUUCCUGUGUAGCGGUGAAAUGCGUAGAUAUGGAACACCAGUGGCGAAGGCGACCACCUGGACUGAUACUGACACUGAGGUGCGAAAGCGGGGAGCAAACAGGAUUAGAUACCCUGGUAGUCCACGUAAACGAUGUCAACUA